GCAGGUGAUAUGUGAUUUACUAAAUCUUACUCAGCAGUGGCAAGGUGAGGUGAAGAGUGUGUGUCAGUGCUUGUACAUGUGCGCUAAGCCUCCGGCUGCUGAAAAGGUUAGAUAUAUUGAUUUUGUUCCUAAGAGACAGACUAGAACAGGGAGACAAAUGGACUACAGUGGAGGAGCUGUCUCAUUGGGGCCCCUGCCAUGUCAGUCCCCUUAAGAUGACUGGUGUACUGGUGUGUUCGACAGCGGUGACACAGAGAAAGCCGAGUGUGCCAACCUGAAUUGAUUCCUUUGUAAAGAGACCCUCUGUAACACUACUACCAAUCAGACGGCAAGUGCUCUCCAUCACUGGUCGCGCAUGCAAGCUAAAAGGUAAGUAACAUCUCUUGAAUUAUGAGGAAAUGGCUUUGCAUACUGUAUUCUGGUCAGUGGAAUAUAUGCAGCGCCGCAUCG